rnacentral:rRNA from 1 species
GACGAACGCUGGCGGCGUGCUUAACACAUGCAAGUCGAACGGAAAGGCCCUGCUUUUGUGGGAUGCUCGAGUGGCGAACGGGUGAGUAACACGUGGGUAACCUGCCCUUGACUUUGGGAUAACUUCAGGAAACUGGGGCUAAUACCGGAUAGGAGCUCCUGCUGCAUGGUGGGGGUUGGAAAGUUUCGGCGGUUGGGGAUGGACUCGCGGCUUAUCAGCUUGUUGGUGGGGUAGUGGCUUACCAAGGCUUUGACGGGUAGCCGGCCUGAGAGGGUGACCGGCCACAUUGGGACUGAGAUACGGCCCAGACUCCUACGGGAGGCAGCAGUGGGGAAUAUUGCACAAUGGGCGGAAGCCUGAUGCAGCAACGCCGCGUGCGGGAUGACGGCCUUCGGGUUGUAAACCGCUUUCGCCUGUGACGAAGCGUGAGUGACGGUAAUGGGUAAAGAAGCACCGGCUAACUACGUG